AUGGUAAUGCCCCAAUUCCAUCCACCCCCUCCUCCCUACAUGGAGGCACCAGCCUAUGUGCUUCCCAACACUCACAUGCAACCAGUAGACUACAGACGUUUCAUGCACCCCCAGGUCCACGCUCCCAGUGCACCUUAUCAGAACCCUAACCAGGGCCACAGAGUCCGUCUGCCGUAUAUAGGCAAUGUUAGAGAAACUGUGAACUCUGAGGUCCAAACGGAACCUACGAGGAGAGGUGCUAGUAGCUACGGUGAGGAAAGCCCAGUCGUCAGUUUAGAUUCUGGCCGUGGUACUGCCUCAAAUUCACCUUUGAGCUCCACCUCUGAGAAACGAGGUACUGCUGAGGUUGACAACUAUACCUUACCCUGUCGUGACUCAAAUGACAACCAAGUAAAAGGGACCAGUGCAACUUGCACAGUCAAACACUGCUUUGACAUCCCCCAGCCUAAAGGAACAAAAACUGUCCAGGCACAUGUCAAAGCACCUCCAGAAAAGAAGCCGAGCCAUAAAGAUGAGGUCGAGCAGGAGUCUGUUCCCCCUUGCAGAGACUCUCACUCUAAUGUGUGGUCACUGAGUUCUGCAGAUGGACUGGAGCCGGUGUGUCGCUCUUCUCAACAAGAGGAGGUUGUCCUAGAGAGACGUGAAUCUGUUCCUGACAUUCUGAUGAGUUGGGGAGGUGGUACAACACAGACUACAAUUCUGUCGCUGGUGGAGAAGCAGCCUCUGAAUGAUCUUUCAACCGAAGUAGAUCAUCCAACUGAGACCGUAAAAAGUCCAGCUGUUGCUGGUGGUGCUUUCGCUAAUGAUGCUGAAGGGAACUUAAGCUCAGGGGACAGUACGACCCUUUUUAAGAUCCUCAAAAUGAGAGCAGCUCAUGAAGCACGAAAAGCUGAGUACAGAAGAGAAAAUGGGGAUUGGUGGGGAAUGGUUUGUCCGGUUAAACAUUUACCACCCGAUGGAGAUGAACGGCUGUGUUCACUAAGCGAUUCAAUGGGGCAAGACUAUGGCAACUGGACAAAUUUACAGGAAGAGACUGCAGACAUUGUUCCCUAUCAAAUGUCUUUGAAUGGUGGUCAGAUAAAGCGAAAGAUGAAUGAGUCUGUUUGGUCUGUGGAAUCUCUGGCACCCUUUAUCCCCAGUAAAGAUUGGCUUAUGCAGAACAGCACGUUUGACCAUCAGGCAAUCGUUGAGAUGACAGAGGAAACUGAAAAUGGAGGACUGUCGACUCUGAACAACCCAAUUGUCAAAGCUGGUGAAGAGCGGAGUCAGACUCUUAUGUCUUCUGAUUCUGAUCUAAUGUUGGACAGCUGGCUCACUUUUAGUACCCCUGAUGGGAAGCGAAGUAUACCAAAGAAGCCAGAAACUGAGAGUAAAAUUGAUGCUUCAGAAAUUAAUAAUCCUUCUGACAAGGAUUCCUUUGCUUCCCAGACUCUCCUGCCACCAAGCAACAGAGCGCUAUCUACUGCCACUGAAGAGGAUGUGGAUAAAAAUAGGUCUUCUGAACCUGAGGCUAAUCAAAGCCCAAACCAGCAAUCACUCUUUGUUAAUGAACAGCAGGAGAAAAGCCCCAGCUCACAGGAGCAGGAAGGAACGCUCCUCUUGAACUUUGGUGCAGGGGAGAAAAUCUCAUCGGUAGGCCAAAUAGUUCUUCAGAAAGGCGUAGAUGUGGCUGAGGAUGGAGCUUGUGGGAACAAAGUCAGUCAACCAAGUAAUGAGAAACUGUGUGUCCCGAUGGCAGAUCAGAAGAUUGCCGAAGUGUCUCCGUCAAAGGGACAUUUAGUGGACUGUGGCACUCAGUGCCGUCUCCAAUUACAGGAUUGCAAUUGCAAGAAGGUGGAAAACGACAUGGGAGCAGGCAGAAGGAAUCAUUUAAAAUGGGCAGGUGAUUCUCUAAAUUCAAUCGUGACUAAUGUGUACUGCUCCUGA
ensembl:lncRNA